rnacentral:rRNA from 2 species
AACGCUGGCUGUGUGCCUAAUACAUGCAUGUCGAGCGGAAGUAGCAAUACUUUAGCGGCGAAUGGGUGAGUAACACGUGCUUAAUCUACCUUUUAGAUUGGAAUACCUAAUGGAAACAUUGGUUAAUGCCGGAUACGCAUGAAGUCGCAUGACUUCGUUGUGAAAGGAGCGUUUGCUCCGCUAAGAGAUGAGGGUGCGGAACAUUAGCUAGUUGGUGAGGUAAUGGCCCACCAAGGCUAUGAUGUUUAGCCGGGUCGAGAGACUGAACGGCCACAUUGGGACUGAGAUACGGCCCAAACUCCUACGGGAGGCAGCAGUAGGGAAUAUUCCACAAUGAGCGAAAGCUUGAUGGAGCGACACAGCGUGCACGAUGAAGGCCCUCGGGUUGUAAAGUGCUGUUGCAAGGGAAGAACAGUUAGUUGAGGAAAUGCUUCUAAUCUGACGGUACCUUGUUAGAAAGCGAUGGCUAACUAUGUGCCAGCAGCCGCGGUAAUACAUAGGUCGCAAGCGUUAUCCGGAAUUAUUGGGCGUAAAGCGUUCGUAGGCUGUUUAUUAAGUCUGGAGUCAAAUCCCAGGGCUCAACCCUGGCUCGCUUUGGAUACUGGUAAACUAGAGUUAGAUAGAGGUAAGCGGAAUUCCAUGUGGAGCGGUGAAAUGCGUAGAUAUAUGGAAGAACACCAAAGGCGAAGGCAGCUUACUGGGUCUAUACUGACGCUGAGGGACGAAAGCGUGGGGAGCAAACAGGAUUAGAUACCCUGGUAGUCCACGCUGUAAACGAUGAUCAUUAGUCGGUGGAAAACUACUGACGCAGCUAACGCAUUAAAUGAUCCGCCUGAGUAGUAUGCUCGCAAGAGUGAAACUUAAAGGAAUUGACGGGGACCCGCACAAGCGGUGGAGCAUGUGGUUUAAUUUGAUGAUACGCGGAGAACCUUACCCACUCUUGACAUCCCCUGCAAAGCUAUAGAGAUAUAGUGGAGGUUAACAGGGUGACAGAUGGUGCAUGGUUGUCGUCAGCUCGUGUCGUGAGAUGUUUGGUCAAGUCCUGCAACGAGCGCAACCCCUAUCUUUAGUUACUAACGAGUCAUGUCGAGGACUCUAGAGAUACUGCCUGGGUAACCGGGAGGAAGGUGGGGAUGACGUCAAAUCAUCAUGCCUCUUACGAGUGGGGCUACACACGUGCUACAAUGGUCGGUACAAAGAGAAGCAAUAUGGCGACAUGGAGCAAAUCUCAAAAAGCCGAUCUCAGUUCGGAUUGAAGUCUGCAAUUCGACUUCAUGAAGUCGGAAUCGCUAGUAAUCGCAGAUCAGCUACGCUGCGGUGAAUACGUUCUCGGGUCUUGUACACACCGCCCGUCACACCAUGGGAGCUGGUAAUACCCAAAGUCGGUUUGCUAACCUCGGAGGCGACUGCCUAAGGUAGGACUGGUGACUGGGGUGAAGUCGUAACAAGGUAUCCCUACGAGAACGUGGGGAUGGAUUACCUCCUUUCUACGGAGUACAAUUGAAGUUAUCAAUACUUCAUAAAUAGUUAAUGGCCCAAUAUUCGUAUCCAGUUUUGAGAGAACUAUCUCUCAUUUAUUCUUUGAAAACUGAAUUAGACAUUGAAAAUUAAAAUAUUAAUAUUCAAAAAUUUAGAUCAACCUAUAGAAUAUUCAAAAAUAUAGAGACAAAUACAAAAACAAAACAAUAGGUCAAAAAUACUUAUACGUAAUUAAAAUAUAUAACUAUUAAAUAAGCAAGAGUUUUUGGUGGAUGCCUUGGGUCUGGAAGUCGAUGAAGGACGUGAUUACCUGCGAUAAGCUUCGUUUAGCUGGAAAUGAGCAUUUAGACGGAGAUUUCCGAAUGGGGAAACCUAAUUAGGGUAAUGCCUAAUUGUCAUAAUCGGUGAAUCCAUAGCCGAAUGAUGAGACACGCUGUGAAUUGAAACAUCUCAGUAGCAGCAGGAAGAGAAAAUAAAGAAUGAUUCCCCUAGUAGUGGCGAGCGAACGGGGAAAAGCCUAAACCAACACUUGUUGUUGGGGUUGUAGGACUACUUAAUUAAGUUUGACGAAUAUUUACAUAUAGCAGAAUGAGUUGGAAUGCUUUAACAUAGAGGGUGAAAUUCCCGUAAGCGAAAUGUGUAAAUCUUCUAGUAGUAUCCUGAGUAGGGCGGGGCACGUGAAACCCUGUCUGAAUCCGCCGGGACCACCCGGUAAGGCUAAAUACUAACCAGACACCGAUAGUGAACUAGUA